rnacentral:rRNA from 1 species
GCAAGUCGAACGAUGAACCACUUCGGUGGGGAUUAGUGGCGAACGGGUGAGUAACACGUGGGCAAUCUGCCCUGCACUCUGGGACAAGCCCUGGAAACGGGGUCUAAUACCGGAUACUGACCCUCGCAGGCAUCUGCGAGGUUCGAAAGCUCCGGCGGUGCAGGAUGAGCCCGCGGCCUAUCAGCUUGUUGGUGAGGUAAUGGCUCACCAAGGCGACGACGGGUAGCCGGCCUGAGAGGGCGACCGGCCACACUGGGACUGAGACACGGCCCAGACUCCUACGGGAGGCAGCAGUGGGGAAUAUUGCACAAUGGGCGAAAGCCUGAUGCAGCGACGCCGCGUGAGGGAUGACGGCCUUCGGGUUGUAAACCUCUUUCAGCAGGGAAGAAGCGAAAGUGACGGUACCUGCAGAAGAAGCGCCGGCUAACUACGUGCCAGCAGCCCG